rnacentral:misc_RNA from 1 species
GAGUAAGGGUCUCUAAGGCCCGAUCUCCAACCCUCUGUUGUUAUAACUAUACUGUUGCUUUGGCGGACCGCCCGGUCAAACGAGCUGCCGGUCUUCGGACCGACAAGUGUCCGCCAGAGUCAAACCAAACUCUUGUUUUUAACCGGUCGUCUGAGUAAAAUUUUAAUUAAAUUAAAACUUUCAACAACGGAUCUCUUGGUUCU